GAAUGAUGAGCAUUAUAAAAGACAUGCCAUUCCUUCUAUAUAUGGAUGUGUAUUGAAGCUUAUUCCUUUAUCAUACUUCUAAUUCUCUGUUUUAUGUUUUUAAAUAUUAAACACAUUUAUUUUAUACUCUGCAUCAUAAUUCCACUAUCUAAUGAAUUUGUAUAUCUCAUCCUGUUUUAUUUGCCUCUGAUUCUCGCUCCUGGUAUCUUGCUUCUGCUUCUGUUUUGUGAUUUUUUAUUGUGAGCUCAUAUUGGUUGUAAUUCUAUCAGUGGGAUACUGUUGAGGCUGAAUUUGAACACGCAUUCCCCUAGGGAAGAUUGUUGUUGCUUCUACCAGGCACCUCCGGGCGUUAAAUCUGAGUCCACUUUAAAUUAGGCAUGAGAGCAUAGUCCAUCUUAAAUUAUAAGUAUCUAUUUGUAGUUUUUAGAAUCAUGCGAACAGUAUAGAUCUAGUUCCAGAAUGUAUGGGAAGGCUGGCCUGUGGCCAUUUGUUCCCACGGAAUCUUUGAAAAACUUCUGUCCAGUAUUCCUUACUGUCAGCUUGUGCAGAUGAAGGAGUUUUCCACCCUGUUCGCCCUUUCCCUGAAGGUGUUUUUCUUCCUGCGUCCUAUCUAUCUUCUGUGCUUGUCUCCUGUGAAGCUGGGACACAGAUAUGUGACAUUCUGCUCUAGACUUUACAUUGGAGAUUGGUGUUUCAAGGAAGCAGGAUCUUCAGGAAUCCUGUCUAGUGGUGCCACUGGCUGUCACAAGAUGGAGUCCUCUGAGUGGCCGUGGCUGAGCAAGUGCCCACAUGACCCUCUUGUGAUUAGAAGAGCUCGUUUUCAAGUCUGGUCACCAACAUGGACUCUGAGCCCUCCUCUCCUUGCUGGCCUCUUGUGAAGCUGACACUUGCUACGUACAUUUCACCAAGGCCUUGAACCUGGCCUCCCAACCUGCCAGGAAUCCUUGGCAGGGGCUCCCUUGGUUCCUCAUGCACCUAACACUGCCUCGUUGGGGGAAUUUUAUGCUUUGAAGUCUGGAUUCAGCAACACUAAGCUGAGUGUAGAAAAUUAAUAAUAAAGAAAUAAAAUUGAAACCA
rnacentral:lncRNA from 1 species